CCCUUAGAUGUUCUGGGCUGCACGCGUGUUACAAUCGGGAGUACAACAAGAUUGCAAAUCCUAGUGGAUGAGUGGUUCUUCGAAAUUUUCUGAAGACUGGGAUAGUUGAUUGAAAUUAUUCAACUCAAACGAGGGAUUCCUUGUAAUUGUAAUUCAUUAUAUUGUAAUGAAUACGUCCCUGCCCUUUGUACACACCGCCCGUCGCUCCUACCGAUUGAACGAUCCGGUGAAUUAUUUGGAGUAGCUCUGGAAGUUGCAGAACUUCCUAUGUCACGAAAUUUUGUAAACCUUAUCGUUUAGAGGAAGGAAAAGUCGUAACA
rnacentral:rRNA from 1 species